AUUGAAAAGGGCGUGGUUUGUUUUGUCACGCCCCUAUUUUUAUUUUCCAUUUUCAGCAAGAAAGAAAAAAUGGUUUGAUUAACUUGUAUCGCUAUCCCACUGGCCGUCAUGCUCUGGAAGGGGCUGAUGAUGCUGGUGGAUUGGUGUAGGGGGAAGAAGAGGGGAGAGGAAAAGAAGGAGAAGGUAGAGGGCAAAGAGGUCGGCCCAGGAGAUGAAAUAAAAGAGCUACCUUCUCUAGAAGAGAAAGAAGGACUUAGACAACGUCAAGUUCAAGAGGUUGAUGAUGAUUGUUCGACCUGACAGUAAAGAACCUCUCCGUACCACUACCACCUGAUAUAUAUAUACACAGACAUACAGUGACUGUAUUGAUGACGAGUGUAGCUAAAACCAGUUCUAAUAUACUGGAGGCUAUCCUCUGAUGAACUGUGUCUUUAUAUCAGAUAUUUAUAUUGUGUAUCUACAUGUAUGUGGCCAUCUUGUUUAGUUGUUCAAUAAUAAUUAUGAAAGUGAAGUUAUCAUAACUAUGUGUGACUAAUAUGUGCUUUCUCUCUAAUAAAAAGCCAGGCACCACUUUUGUCUUUGAUUAUAA